CACGUAGGGCGCAAGCGUUGUCCGGAAUUAUUGGGCGUAAAGAGCUCGUAGGCGGUCUGUUGCGUCCGCUGUGAAAACUCGGGGCUUAACCCCGAGCCUGCAGUGGAUACGGGCAGACUAGAGGUAGGUAGGGGAGAAUGGAAUUCCCGGUGUAGCGGUGAAAUGCGCAGAUAUCGGGAGGAACACCGGUGGCGCAGGCGGCUCUCUGGAACGCAACUGACGCUGAGACGCGAAAGCGUGGGGAGCAAACAGG
rnacentral:rRNA from 1 species